rnacentral:rRNA from 1 species
CCAGACUCCUACGGGAGGCAGCAGUGGGGAAUAUUGCACAAUGGGGGAAACCCUGAUGCAGCAACGCCGCGUGAGUGAGGAAGUAUUUCGGUAUGUAAAGCUCUAUCAGCAGGGAAUAGAAAAGAAGGUACCUGAAAAAGAAGCCCCGGCUAACUACGUGCCAGCAGCCGCGGUAAUACGUAGGGGGCAAGCGUUAUCCGGAUUUACUGGGUGUAAAGGGAGCGUAGACGGCAGUGCAAGCCAGGAGUGAAAGCGCGGGGCCCAACCCCGGGACUGCUCUUGGAACUGCGCGGCUGGAGUGCAGGAGGGGCAGGCGGAAUUCCUGGUGUAGCGGUGAAAUGCGUAGAUAUCAGGAGGAACACCGGUGGCGAAGGCGGCCUGCUGGACUGCGACUGACGUUGAGGCCCGAAAGCGUGGGGAGCAAACAGGAUUAGAUACCCCAGUA